rnacentral:snRNA from 1 species
AUGCUCACUUUGGCAGCACAUAUAAUAAAAUUGGAAUGAUACAGGGAAGAUUAGCAUGGCCCCUGCUCAAGGAUGACACACAAAUUUGUGAAGUGUUCCAUAUUUUA